CCUACGGGUGGCAGCAGUGGGGGAUAUUGCACAAUGGGGGAAACCCUGAUGCAGCGACGCCGCGUGUGGGAAGACGGUCCUCUGGAUUGUAAACCACUGUCCCCAGGGACGAAGAUGACGGUACCUGGGGCGGAAGCUCCGGCUAACUACGUGCCAGCAGCCGCGGUAAUACGUAGGGAGCGAGCGUUGUCCGUAAUUACUGGGUGAAAAGGGAGCGUAGGCGGGACUGCAAGUUGGGGGUAAAAUCUACCGGCGCAACCGGUAGCCGCACUCAAAACUGCAGUUCUUGAGUGAAGUAGAGGCAGGCGGAAUUCCUAGUGUAGCGGUGAAAUGCGUAGAUAUUAGGAGGAACACCAGUGGCGAAGGCGGCCUGCUGGGCUUUUACUGACGCUGAGGCUCGAAAGUGUGGGGAGCAAACAGGAUUAGAUACCCCUGUAGUC
rnacentral:rRNA from 1 species